GGUUAAGCGACUAAGCGUACACGGUGGAUGCCCUGGCAGUCAGAGGCGAUGAAGGACGUGCUAAUCUGCGAUAAGCGUCGGUAAGGUGAUAUGAACCGUUAUAACCGGCGAUUUCCGAAUGGGGAAACCCAGUGUGAUUCGUCACACUAUCAUUAACUGAAUCCAUAGGUUAAUGAGGCGAACCGGGGGAACUGAAACAUCUAAGUACCCCGAGGAAAAGAAAUCAACCGAGAUUCCCCCAGUAGCGGCGAGCGAACGGGGAGCAGCCCAGAGCCUGAAUCAGUAUGUGUGUUAGUGGAAGCGUCUGGAAAGGCGCGCGAUACAGGGUGACAGCCCCGUACACAAAAAUGCACAUGCUGUGAGCUCGAUGAGUAGGGCGGGACACGUGGUAUCCUGUCUGAAUAUGGGGGGACCAUCCUCCAAGGCUAAAUACUCCUGACUGACCGAUAGUGAACCAGUACCGUGAGGGAAAGGCGAAAAGAACCCCGGCGAGGGGAGUGAAAAAGAACCUGAAACCGUGUACGUACAAGCAGUGGGAGCACGCUUAGGCGUGUGACUGCGUACCUUUUGUAUAAUGGGUCAGCGACUUAUAUUCUGUAGCAAGGUUAACCGAAUAGGGGAGCCGAAGGGAAACCGAGUCUUAACUGGGCGUUAAGUUGCAGGGUAUAGACCCGAAACCCGGUGAUCUAGCCAUGGGCAGGUUGAAGGUUGGGUAACACUAACUGGAGGACCGAACCGACUAAUGUUGAAAAAUUAGCGGAUGACUUGUGGCUGGGGGUGAAAGGCCAAUCAAACCGGGAGAUAGCUGGUUCUCCCCGAAAGCUAUUUAGGUAGCGCCUCGUGAAUUCAUCUCCGGGGGUAGAGCACUGUUUCGGCAAGGGGGUCAUCCCGACUUACCAACCCGAUGCAAACUGCGAAUACCGGAGAAUGUUAUCACGGGAGACACACGGCGGGUGCUAACGUCCGUCGUGAAGAGGGAAACAACCCAGACCGCCAGCUAAGGUCCCAAAGUCAUGGUUAAGUGGGAAACGAUGUGGGAAGGCCCAGACAGCCAGGAUGUUGGCUUAGAAGCAGCCAUCAUUUAAAGAAAGCGUAAUAGCUCACUGGUCGAGUCGGCCUGCGCGGAAGAUGUAACGGGGCUAAACCAUGCAC
rnacentral:rRNA from 1 species